rnacentral:lncRNA from 1 species
AUGGGAUGGAGUUGAUGUUUAUCAUAGCCACCAACUGUUGGCACAGGAAAGAGGGUCUUGCCAUAUAGCCUGAACUUGGGAACAUUCCUGGCUGAGCCCUUUUCAAUAGUAAGCACAGCAAAAGAGAACUAGAAGCUAAUUCCUUAUCUUCCUCUUUUCACCCCAAAAUGUAGUGGGCAUUUCCCUUCUAGUCUUGUCCUCUACAUGAGCCAGCUCCUGUGAGAACUUUAGCCUUGCAGAUGGGGUUCAGCUGGGCUCUUCACCAAGACAGGCACCUGCUGCCAUUUCUCCUUGGUGAGAUUCACAGAUUUAUACAGGAGAAAGAUGGGUCAUCACCGCAUGAACAAAUGCCCCUCUCCUGUAUAUCACUGGCUUCCCGUUAUCUUCAGCAUGAAAUCCCAACUUCUUAAAGGUCAUGGACACAAGAUGUCAGCUCUGCCCAUCUCUUUCUACUUCUUCUCCCCAACUCUAUGCAUCCUCUCAUUUACUUUCUUCGAUCUCACUGGCCUUUCUAUGCCCUUGGACCUUUUCAUCUGAUGAAGAUCAAAUGGUCAUAAAGGCCUUCAACAGAGCUGCAGAGAUGUAACCAGGCAGCCGAGGGAGUACUGGCCAUCAAUUCUAAUAAGUAUAUUGACUGGUGUCUGGUCACCUACAGAGAUACUUCUGUCCCCAAGAGUUUGGGACAUAAACUUACCAGGAAUCCACUGUGAUGAUCCACAAAUUUACUCAUGAGAGUUAAAUCUGAUCAUGUCAUCACUUGGUGUAAUGAAACACUAUAAAAAACAUAAUUAAAUAUGAGUAGGAGCCAGGCCAUUUCCUUAGCCCUCAGGAUGAAUACUUUGUGAAGACAUUCUAAAUGUCAAUGA